rnacentral:rRNA from 1 species
CCCCUAAGGGGGGCCGGUAGGAAUGCAAGUCGAACGCACUCUCGUUAGAUUGAAGAAGCUUGCUUCUGAUUGAUAACAUUUGAGUGAGUGGCGGACGGGUGAGUAACACGUGGGUAACCUGCCCUAAAGUGGGGGAUAACAUUUGGAAACAGAUGCUAAUACCGCAUAAAACCUAGCACCGCAUGGUGCAAGGUUGAAAGAUGGUUUCGGCUAUCACUUUAGGAUGGACCCGCGGUGCAUUAGUUAGUUGGUGAGGUAAAGGCUCACCAAGACCGUGAUGCAUAGCCGACCUGAGAGGGUAAUCGGCCACACUGGGACUGAGACACGGCCCAGACUCCUACGGGAGGCAGCAGUAGGGAAUCUUCCACAAUGGACGAAAGUCUGAUGGAGCAACGCCGCGUGAGUGAAGAAGGUUUUCGGAUCGUAAAACUCUGUUGUUGGAGAAGAACGUAUUUGAUAGUAACUGAUCAGGUAGUGACGGUAUCCAACCAGAAAGCCACGGCUAACUACGUGCCAGCAGCCGCGGUAAUACGUAGGUGGCAAGCGUUGUCCGGAUUUAUUGGGCGUAAAGCGAGCGCAGGCGGUUUCUUAAGUCUGAUGUGAAAGCCUUCGGCUCAACCGAAGAAGUGCAUCGGAAACUGGGAAACUUGAGUGCAGAAGAGGACAGUGGAACUCCAUGUGUAGCGGUGAAAUGCGUAGAUAUAUGGAAGAACACCAGUGGCGAAGGCGGCUGUCUGGUCUGUAACUGACGCUGAGGCUCGAAAGCAUGGGUAGCAAACAGGAUUAGAUACCCUGGUAGUCCAUGCCGUAAACGAUGAGUGCUAGGUGUUGGAGGGUUUCCGCCCUUCAGUGCCGCAGCUAACGCAUUAAGCACUCCGCCUGGGGAGUACGACCGCGAGGUUGAAACUCAAAGGAAUUGACGGGGGCCCGCACAAGCGGUGGAGCAUGUGGUUUAAUUCGAAGCAACGCGAAGAACCUUACCAGGUCUUGACAUCCUUUGACCACUCUAGAGAUAGAGCUUUCCCUUCGGGAACAAAGUGACAGGUGGGGCAUGGUUGGUCCUCAGCUCGUG